UGAGCCUCCUGAGUAGCAGCUAGGACUACAGGCAUGCCACUACGCCUAGGAUUUUAUUUUCUUUUGUACAGACAAGGUCUUAUUAUGCUACCCAGGGUGUUCUCAAACUGCUGGCCUCAAGUGAUCCUCUGGCCUUGGUCUCCCAAAGCUCUGGGAUUAGACAUGAGCCACUACACCAGGCCCCUAUAUUUUCCAAUGAACAAACAAGAUAUAAAUUGUGGAUAAAUUUCCAAACCAGUUCACAAGAACUUAUUUUAAGCCUUAAUGUAAUUAGAAUAGGAAUUUCUUUUUUUUUUUUUUCCUUUCUUUUUUCUUUUAAAACUGACAAAGACAAUAGAAUAGGAAUUUCUACAUGUUGCAAGGGCAGGUGGCAGAGGCUGAAUGCUAUUGUGUUGCGGGGCAGGUAGGCUGUAUGACAGCUGGAGAAGGCAGGGAUUGACGGCUUGAGAUAACAGUGGGAAGAAUGUUGGUGGACCUCUUCAUGCUGAAGAGAUCCAUCACAAUUAUUGAAUAAACUCAAUUGAGCACAUCAUGUGGUAGAUGCUGUUUAUGUGCUGAGAAGUUAACAAUAAACAAUGCAGUCCCCUGUAGUCUAGUUGAAAAUAAGGGACUGAGGGUAGGAAGUUGUGACAAGAAGGUUUCCAUUCCUCUUCUAUUUUUCCUCAUUUCUUUAUCCUAAGAAGUGGAAAGCAGAAAUUGGGCAUGGAAUGUAGAAUAGUGAAAUUUACUAAAAUAAAAAUGUGACAGGCUUUCCUUCCUGCCCCUUCCCCCCUUCCCAGAUGCUGACUAAAGUUUUCCCUUCCUUUGUGCUCCUUCUUUCUGCAGAAUCCCCCCUCCUUCGCCAACUGGGGCUAGCUAGUGCAUCAGUGGUAGGAAUGUGGGAAGGGGCAGGAGAUGAGAAAAAAAAAAAUGGUCUUGGGAAGAACAAGACAUAGUUACCAAGAAAAAAAAAGAGAGAGAAGGAAAUGUACAGCCCCAAUAGGAGGAAAAAAAUUCCUAUCCAAACCAGAAGAAGCAGUUCAUAUGCAAGAUACUCAGAUCAAGAUAGUACAGGGCUUUACCUUCUUUGCAGCAUUCCCCACCAAUCAUUUUUUUAAGAAAAAUAAUUAUCAGGAAGGCAAGAUUUACUUAAGAAAAGCUAAUUAAUUAGAACCCUCUCUAAUGUAACUUCUAAAAGGUAGGUUUCUAGUUAAUUAAUUGGCCAAGGACUAUACACAUCUAGGUUACAGCAUCAGAAAUUGACUUUUGCUAACUUCAGUAGAAAAGGAAUUUGUUGCAAAGGUAUAGAAUGGCUCAAAGAUUGGACAGAAAGGCUGGAUUUGAAGGCUAGAAAUUUGAUAGGGGCCAGGGAAGGUUAGGGAGAAGGAAUCAGGCCAAGGUCCUACUGCAGGAAUGGUCUGUUUGGGAUGUCUCAAUGGACAUGACUGCCACUGCUGUAACUAGAUGCAUCUCCUUGUCACUUCAAAGCUGUCUCUGUCCACUGCCUUCACUAACCCCAGAUGCAACAUCCUGGGCAGGAACACCCAAUUGGCUUUGUCCCUAAGGGAGUGGGGAAAGGCAGUCUCUGGCUGCAUCAUUUCCAAGAAUUACAUAGUACAGAUUCCAUCAAAAUAGAUGCUGUGCAGCCAGGGAAAGGACAAAUGUUCAUGCACACUGCUUAUGAUAAUUUAUAAAAGUAGUAUGGUAAUAAAGGGGUAGAAUUUCAGCCAAAGAUUUCAGAAAUGUUUUUAAGGGCAGCAAAGGAGCUCUGCCCAUGAGUUACCUCCACUGAUGGAGGUAACUCAAAUAACAAACACCACUCAGGCCUACGCUUGACUUUGAUGCUUAGAUCUUGAAGCAGAUAUCUUUGUCAAGAUUGCUACUUGCCUAGGGCACAGCAUUGUCUCAUUAGAAAUCCUCAGCUCUAAAGGUGUGGGUGUGCCCACCUUCAUAUACCCAUUUGACAUAAGACAUGACUGAAUUUCAGAGGUGUUUUGCCCUACAAUCACUUACUAGAGGCAUAAUUGAUUAUUAUAGAGUACCAACAGAUUUGGAGCAAUUAAUUUCUUCUACCUUAUUUACUCUAACUUAAGCAAAACGUGGCUAGUAAAAGUAUUUUAAGAUAUGUAUUUCCUCUAGAAAAUAUUUCACAUUUUUUUCUCAUAAAAUGAAUAGUGAUUUGAAAGUCCCAGAUGGAUAAAUAGGAAAUUUCUUUGUUACAGCUGAAAGUGAAUUCAUUCAUUAUAAAUCAGAUUGGAUAAUGCUAUUCAAAGCUUCAUAUUUCACCUGGAAAGAAAUCUAAUUAACAAGAUUGCUUUUUACAAAUUAAUUUCCUGACCUAUUUUCCUAUAGAGUUGAAACUAAACUCAAAUAUAUUUGUUCUAAUUACUGAGUACUUAUAUUCGAGCUUGAAACUCUUAUAUUUGGGAUUCUAUAUGCUGUAAUAACACACGUAAAUCCAAGUGAAUUUUAAAAUUAAAAUUAGAAAUUUUGAGAAUAGCUUUGAGGAACAUGUAUUGUCAUGCCAAACGCAAUAUUUGGGCUUAUCUUCCUCCCAAUUCUAGUUGUUUAAGGGAACUUUUGUGUGAUGUUUUCAUUAGUAAGUCCUUGAGGGAAACAAGUUUCUUCAUAAGGAAGUUCAAGGUGUUAAACCCAACAAACACCUUCAUAAAUGAUGCAAAGCGAGGCUUCCUGAAUGUGUUAGCUGGAGAGCAACACUUCUAUAUAAAGCUUCUAUUUCAUCCCUGCCAAAGUGAAGAUAAAAUUCCCUUUGAGAUAAUUAUGAAGUCUGCAAAAUUUGUGUUCUUCUCGGGUGCAAUGCAUGCUAAGACCUCAGCUCUUGCUUGGCCAAUUAAGGGUUGCAUUUACCAGGAAUGCCUGCAGUACUCUCAGCAGUGUGGUUUUGCAAGUUUGGGCAGAAUUCAGGGGUUCAUCUGUGGUUGGCCAGAGCACAGAGGGAGGGUUUCUGUGUGGUAGUUCAAUUUAGGAACCAGGAAAGACAUAUACCAAAGUGUCCAUUAUGCCAGUAAUAAGCCAGGCAUGGCUGGCAGCCAUGAGGAAGCAGAUUUGGUAGGAGCUAGUCAGGGUUCCAUGACACUACUCAACAUAGGGGCUCAGGGUGGAGCCACUUGGAGAAAAAAUGGCAAUUGGGGUCUACACCCAGACCUGGCAGACACGGAGGGUCUAGGGAGCUUAACUGGAUUCCAAGCCCUCACUAUACUUAUUUCAUUCAGUAGCACCAGAGGCAAGACUGAGCCUAUGAGCUGUUUUUUGGGGUGUAUAUCAGGAGGCCUAGAAUUAUGGAUCUAGGAAAACAGGCAGUGGAAAUAAAGUUAACAUUUGCCCCUCUUCCAGUGCCCUUUAUUGACUCAAGGCCACCUGUGCUACUUACUCCUUAGUUUCUUCACCUCCCUCCCCAUGUGAAAAUACUGAUUUGGUAUUGCUAUUUAUUUUGAUGAUUAACUGAUAUGUACUAAGCAUUUUAUAGGCUUGCCUACCCAUGGCUCAUUUUGAAGACCCCCUACUUCUAGCCCAAGCUAAGACAGCUGUCAAAGGUAGACAUCUGAAAGCUGCUAACCAGGGCCUCUGAUGGAACACUGCUACAAAAGACCCUUCCCCUAAAUACACAUUUCUAGCUAAGUUUUCUUCUCUUAGGAACUGAAAUUGAAAGACAGAGAGGUAAGUGGAUAACUGAUGGGGCACUGGAACUGCAAAGUGAUGUCAAGUCAGUCUGGGGAAGCCAUUUUGGGACAUGAAGAGCUGAAGCUAUGGAAGAGUAGAAAUUGUGAGCAAGGACAAGAUAAUUAGUAGAGAAUGCACAGAAUAGAGGCACAAAAAGUCUCAUUUUUGUGACUAUCUAGUGUCCAGCUCCAGAGUCCUGGAUGUCUGGCCCAGCUGUAUUGGGGUUCCUGUACUUGGGUUUCUGUGUGAGAUUCCUGCUCACAAACAGCUUGAAAUGCCUUAAGGAAAAUAUCAUUCCCUGUAACAAAAUGAUCCCCAGUCUACAAGAAAACUAUUUACUCAACUAACCAUUGUAUUUUAAAUCUUUGUGUUCAAUUGCAGUAAAGAUGUUUUAUUCACUGAAGGCAGAAGAGGGAAUCAUAAAAUCAUCCAGGCCUAUUUUUAAAGCUAGGCCUAUUUUUAAAGCUGGUCCUACAGAUAAAACUGAUUUUCUCCUUGAGUGGAUGAAUUACGGGAAAAGGGCUACUGAUCACACCACCAACCUCCACCUUCUGAGAGAUGUACAUGGAACCACGGAGGAGUUGCUCCCAAAACCUGCAAGAGACAGAUCUAUGUGGUGCAAAAAGGUGGAUGUUGGCAGAUCUAGAAAUGUGGAACAGGAAGCCCAGUUGACUGGCAGUCCUAGAUGCCAUCCCUCUGGAUUCACCACUACAUUAGCUGCAAGGCCCAGGGCUGCUCCCUGCCUUGGAUGGCACAGUGAUGGUAUGAGUGCAAGCAACACAAACUCCUCUGGCUGGCAACUUUGGCUCGAGGACUCCCCAUCAGCCUGGCCCAACCUUCUGUAGGACUGCAUCAACAGUCUGAGAUUCCUCCUACCAAUCCUCCUUCCCUCUCUUAUCACAGGUGUUAGGUUUACGGUAGUCUGAAGGCUCUCCCUGCCUACUCCUACUCCCUCCCCUUUGUCCUAUACAAGUGAGUUCCUCCAAUAAAUCUCUUGCAUGUCUAAUA